AGCAGCCGCGGUAAUUCCAGCUCCAAUGGCGUAUAUUAAAGUUGUUGCAGUUAAAAAGCUCGUAGUUGAAUUUCGGGAUUGACGUGAUGGUCGUGCCUUAAGGGGUAUGAACUGUCGCAGUUGAUUUCUCACCUUCUGGAGAAGCAUUGAUGUCCUUAAUUGGGUGUCAUGUGGAACCAGGACCUUUACCUUGAAAAAAAUUAGAGUGUUUAAAGCAGGCAUUUUGCUCGAAUACAUUAGCAUGGAAUAAUAGAAUAGGACGGCAUGGUUCUAUUUUGUUGGUUUCUAGGAUCACCGUAAUGAUUAAUAGGGAUAGUUGGGGGCAUUAGUAUUCAAUUGUCAGAGGUGAAAUUCUUGGAUUUAUUGAAGACUAACUACUGUGAAAGCAUUUUGCCAAGGAUGUUUUCAUUAAUCAAGAACGAAAGUUAGGGGAUCGAAGACGAUCAGAUACCGUCGUAGUCUUAACCAUAAACUAUGCCGACUAGGGAUCGGAUGAUGUUAAUUUUUUUCAAUGACUCAU
rnacentral:rRNA from 1 species